CCAAAGGCUCUUUUCAGAGCCACCCACGCUGUCAAGGGAAGAGCCU
rfam:Gallus gallus isolate RJF #256 breed Red Jungle fowl, inbred line TCD001 chromosome 1, whole genome shotgun sequence.